rnacentral:tRNA from 1 species
GGGGUUGUGGCUCAGUGGUAGAGCGCUUGCCUAGCAUGUAUGAGGCACUGGGUUCAAUUCUCAGCACCA